rnacentral:rRNA from 1 species
CGUACACUCCUGCGGGAGGCAGCAGUGGGGAAUAUUGGACAAUGGGCGCAAGCCUGAUCCAGCCAUGCCGCGUGAGUGAUGAAGGCCCUAGGGUUGUAAAGCUCUUUCACCGGUGAAGAUAAUGACGGUAACCGGAGAAGAAGCCCCGGCUAACUUCGUGCCAGCAGCCGCGGUAAUACGAAGGGGGCUAGCGUUGUUCGGAUUUACUGGGCGUAAAGCGCACGUAGGCGGACUAUUAAGUCAGGGGUGAAAUCCCGGGGCUCAACCCCGGAACUGCCUUUGAUACUGGUAGUCUUGAGUUCGAGAGAGGUGAGUGGAAUUCCGAGUGUAGAGGUGAAAUUCGUAGAUAUUCGGAGGAACACCAGUGGCGAAGGCGGCUCACUGGCUCGAUACUGACGCUGAGGUGCGAAAGCGUGGGGAGCAAACAGGAUUAGAAACCCUUGUAGUCCCAUGAU